rnacentral:lncRNA from 1 species
CAUUCACAUGACAUUUCAGUGUAUACACCUGUGCUGUCCAAUGUAAGGUCACCAGCCACAGUGGCUAUUUAAAUAUGUCAACUAUAGUAAAAUUAAAUUAAGCAUUCAGUUCUACAGUUCCACAUUUCAAAUGCUCAUAGUCACAUGUGGUUAGUGGCUACUAUAGAGGACAGCACAGAUACAAAACUUUUCCAUCAUAGCAGAGAAUUCUGUCGGACAGUCCUGCUCUAGACAUUCUGAACACAUUUCAAUCUCUCCAGUAUACCAGUAUACCAUGCUCUCUUCUGUUGCCUUCAAGUCUUUGCAUAAGCUGUUGCAACUGUCAGGAACACACACACACACUGCCUUGCUUUAGCCAAUUCCUACCUCUCUGUUUAAACAUCACUUCCUGGGUUGCCUUUCCUAGACCCUGGAUUGGUUUGAGGGUCCCCUCUCUGUGUUCCACUAAGUGUUAGUUGCUCGUUUGUGUCCGACUCUUUGCAACAUGAUGGUUUGUAGCCUACCAGGCUCCUCUGUCCAUGGGAUUCUCCAGGCAAGAAUACUGAAGUGAGUUGCCAUUUCCUUCUCCACAGGGGAUUUUCCCACCCAGGGAUUGAACUCAGGUCUCCCACACUGCGGGCAGAUUCUUCACUGUCUGAGCCACCAGGGAAGCCCCUGUGUUCCAUGAUACUUUGCCUUUCUCUGACAGUAACUCAUUGUCCAUUAUGGUUAACAUUUAAUUGUCUGGCCUCAUCUUUAAUAAUAAUAAGAGCCUCCUGAGCAGUUACUAUAUGCCAGAUACUGCUCAGUGCUUUGCAUGUAAUUCUCAGAGCAACCUUAUUUCACAGAUUAGGAACUGAAGCUGGGCAAGACUGGACAUACUGUCCAAGGCCACAAAGCUGGGAGGUGACAGAACAAGUAUUCGAAUCUGGAGCCGCGCCUUUACACACCAAGCUCUCCAAGAGUCUGGAGUCAUCCCCAUGUCCUCACCCCCAAAAAACGAAGACAUUGAAAUUGAGGAAAUGUGCAGACCACCUUUUGGAGGCGUUCAUGAUAUAAGGAAGCAGGGAGUGGCCAGUACCUGGAAGGAGAUGUGGAGUCAAGAGAAAUGGAGGAGGACUUGAGU